CUGCAUCAUGUUCUUUGAGAGAAAGGGAUUCACAAAGCAAAGCAAGGCUUUGAAGGCAAUGAUUGGCUACGGCCAAGGAAGGGCGUCUGGGGGAUGCCUAUGGCUCUGAUUGGCGAAGAAGGACGCGGACAGCAGCGAAAACAGUGGGGAGGAGCACACAUCCUUUGAUCCGCUGGUCUCCGAAUGGGGCAACCCGGGAUGGUGAAGCCAUCUCAUCACCGUAGGGUGAGGCGAACGUGGGGAACUGAAACAUCUAAGUACCCGCAGGAAGAGAAAACAAGCGUGAUACCCUGAGUAGUGGCGAGCGAAAGGGGCAUAGCCCAAACCACAGCGGUUACGGCCGCUGCGGGGUUGUAGGACCGACCAUCAAAUCCAUUGACAAACCGGAAUGCGUUGGGAAGCGCAUCCACAGAAGGUGACAGACCUGUACGGGUAGAUGCAAUGGGUGGGGUUGGGAUCCUGAGUAGGGGGGGGCCGGAGGAACCCCCUCUGAAGCUGGCAGCACCAUCUGCCAAGGCUAAAUACACAUCAGAGACCGAUAGCGAACCAGUACCGUGAGGGAACGGUGAAAAGUACCGCAAGCAGCGGGGUGAAAUAGAACCUGAAACCAGACGCCUACAAACGGUUGGAGCCCUUUUAGUGGGGUGACAGCGUGCCUUUUGCAUAAUGAGCCUACGAGUUACCGUCCCUGGCCAGGUUAAGCUUUUAAAGAAGCGGAGCCGAAGCGAAAGCGAGUCUGAAUAGGGCGCUUAGUCAGGGGGGGUAGACGCGAAACCGGGUGAUCUACCCGUGGCCAGGUUGAAGUGGCAGUAACAUGUCAUGGAGGACCGCACCAGUAAACGUUGAAAAGUUUUUGGAUGAGCUGCGGGUAGGGGUGAAAGGCCAAUCAAACUCGGAAAUAGCUCGUACUCUCCGAAAUGUUUUUAGGAACAGCCUUGCAUGCCAAAUUCCCAGGAGGUAGAGCUACCGAUAGGACUAGGGGGAGUCACAUCCUACCAACUUCUGACGAACUCCGAAUGCCUGGGAAUUGAUGCGGGAGUGAGGGGUCGGGUGCUAAGGUCCGACUCCGAGAGGGGAACAACCCAGACCACCGGCUAAAGUCCCCAAGUGGUUGCUCAGUUGAACAAAGGAGGUCCGGUUGCCGAGACAGCCAGGAGGUUAGCUUGGAAGCAGCUAUUCCUUUAAAGAGUGCGUAACAGCUCACUGGUCGAGCGAGGCGGGCAUCGAUAAUAAACGGGCAUCAAGCAACCCACUGAAGCCGUGGACACUAGCGUUUAGCUAGUUGUGGUAGGAGAGCAUUCUAUGGGCGGAGAAGGUUUGGCGUGAGCCGGGCUGGAGCGCAUAGAAAAGCAAAUGUAGGCAUAAGUAACGACAAUGCGGGUGAGAACCCCGCACGCCGAAAGACUAAGGAUUCCACCGCGAUGGCAAUCAACGGUGGGUGAGUCGGCACCUAAGGGGUAGGCGAGAGCCGGACCUGAGGGCAAACGGGUUAAUAUUCCCGUACUAGCCUCUUGAGAGAAGCGGGGACGGAGUACUGAACGGGCCGCGCACUGCGGGAAUAGUGCGUUGAAGGUCAUAAGCUUUUGGUUCUGUAGGCAAAUCCGCAGGACUAGGUGGCGACCGAUAGUACCUGGACCUCUUCGGGGGUUCGGGAUAGCGCCGGGGAAGGGCUUCCAAGAAAAGCCGCUAUCGCUAAUCAAGAGGGUAACCGUACCGCAAACCGACACAGGUAGUUGAGAUGAAUAAUCUAAGGCGCUCGAGUGAGUCAUGGCUAAGGAACUCGGCCAGUUGACCCUGUAACUUCGGGAGAAGGGGGGCCUACCCACUUUGGUGGGAGGCUGCAGAGCAAAGGCCCAGGCGACUGUUUACCAAAAACACAGGACUCUGCGAAAUCGAGAGAUUCAGUAUAGGGUCUGACACCUGCCCGGUGCUGGAAGGUUAAGGGGGGGCGUUAGGGGCGCAAGCUUCGAAGCGCUGAACUGAAGCCCCAGUAAACGGCGGCCGUAACUAUAACGGUCCUAAGGUAGCGAAAUUCCUUGUCGGGUAAGUUCCGACCUGCACGAAUGGUGUAACGAUCUGGGCACUGUCUCAGCCAUGAGCUCGGUGAAAUUGUAGUUCCGGUGAAGAUGCCGGAUACCCGCCACGGGACGGAAAGACCCCGUGCACCUUUACUACAGCUUAUCAUGGACGCUGGCACAAGCAUGUGUAGGAUAGGUGGGAGGCAGUGAGCCGGUGUCGCUAGGCAUCGGGGAGCCAACGUUGAAAUACCACCCUUGCGUGUGUUGGCGUCUAACCUCUCCGAGAGAGGGACCGUGGUUGGCGGGUAGUUUGACUGGGGUGGUCGCCUCCGAAAGCGUAACGGAGGCUUCCAAAGGUUCGCUCAGGCCGGUUGGUAACCGGCUGGGGAGUGCAAUAGCAGAAGCGAGCUUGACAGUGAGGCAGACAGGCCGAGCUGGUGCGAAAGCAGGGUAUAGUGAUCCGGUGGUUCCGCAUGGGUGGGCCAUCGCUCAAAGGAUAAAAGGUACGCCGGGGAUAACAGGCUGAUCUCCCCCAAGAGCUCACAUCGACGGGGAGGUUUGGCACCUCGAUGUCGGCUCGUCACAUCCUGGGGCUGGAGAAGGUCCCAAGGGUUCGGCUGUUCGCCGAUUAAAGUGGCACGCGAGCUGGGUUCAGAACGUCGUGAGACAGUUCGGUCCCUAUCUGUGGUGGGCGUAAGAAGAUUGACGGGGGCUGCCCUUAGUACGAGAGGACCGGGGUGGACUCACCGCUGGUGAACCGGUUAUUGUGCCCACGGUACGGCCGGGUAGCUACGUGGGGUUUGGAUAAGCGCUGAAAGCAUCUAAGUGCGAAGCCGGCCCGGAGAUGAGUCUUCUAUGAAGGACGUUAGAGACGAUGACGUGGAUAGGCGGCAGGUGCAGGGCGGGAGACCGCUAGAGCCGAGCCGUACUAAUGACCUGAAGGUCGAA
rnacentral:rRNA from 1 species